AUUGAACGCUGGCGGCAGGCCUAACACAUGCAAGUCGAAUGGUAACAGGAAACAGCUUGCUGUUUCGCUGACGAGUGGCGGACGGGUGAGUAAUGUCUGGGAAACUGCCUGAUGGAGGGGGAUAACUACUGGAAACGGUAGCUAAUACCGCAUAACGUCGCAAGACCAAAGAGGGGGACCUUCGGGCCUCUUGCCAUCAGAUGUGCCAGAUGGGAUUAGCUAGUAGGUGGGGUAACGGCUCACCUAGGCGACGAUCCCUAGCUGGUCUGAGAGGAUGACCAGCCACACUGGAACUGAGACACGGUCCAGACUCCUACGGGAGGCAGCAGUGGGGAAUAUUGCACAAUGGGCGCAAGCCUGAUGCAGCCAUGCCGCGUGUAUGAAGAAGGCCUUCGGGUUGUAAAGGUACUUUCUAGCGGGAGGAA
rnacentral:rRNA from 1 species